rnacentral:rRNA from 1 species
GACGAACGCUGGCGGCGUGCUUAACACAUGCAAGUCGAACGGUGAAGCGCCUUCCUUUUUGGUGGGUGUGGAUGAGUGCCGAACGGGUGAGUAACACGUGAGUAACCUGCCCCCUUCUUCUGGAUAACCGCAUGAAAGUGUGGCUAAUACGGGAUAUUCUGGGUCUGUCGCAUGAUGGGUCUGGGAAAGAUAUUGUUUCGGUGGGGGAUGGGCUCGCGGCCUAUCAGCUUGUUGGUGGGGUGAUGGCCUACCAAGGCGGUGACGGGGAGCCGGCCUGGGGGGGUGGACGGUCACACUGGGACUGAGACACGGCCCCGCCUCCUACGGGAGGCAGCAGUGGGGAAUAUUGCACGAUGGGCGCAAGCCUGAUGCAGCGACGCCGCGUGAGGGAUGGAGGCCUUCGGGUUGUGAACCUCUUUCGCCAGUGAAGCAGGCCUGCCUCGUUUGUGGGUGGGUUGACGGUAGCUGGAUAAGAAGCGCCGGCUAACUACGUG